rfam:Canis lupus familiaris chromosome 6, whole genome shotgun sequence.
UGGUGACCUGAGGCUCCCUGACUGUCACUCUGUCCCGCCCAUUCUGGCCCACAGGGCACAGGCUGAGUCCCAGUAAAGUCUGUGAGGCCUGACCC